rnacentral:tRNA from 1 species
GCCCCUGUGGUGGAAUUGGUAGACACGCCAGACUCAAAAUCUGGUGGCCGCAAGGCCGUGUCCGUUCGAGUCGGACCGGGGGCACCA